rnacentral:rRNA from 1 species
AUGGAGCACUACCGUCAUUGCCGAGCCACUCCACCGGCGAUCACCAUCCUCCACGGAACUCUUUCCCUCCUCUCCACCCUACUUGCGAGCUUCCUUCCCGCAAGCUUCACCAAGCACCAAGCCGCGGGUUCGCCUCAUCCACGUCCUCUACCCCGAAGCAGCAGAGUGUCGACCCUCCUCUCCCAUGAGCAACUCUGCCUCCUCAACAUCCUUUCCCUAGACAACGCUACCUCCUCUACUUCCUUGCGCAUUUGGCAUGUGAGAUUUCUUUGCAAUUGCAGUGCAUUUUCUUCUUCUUUCGAGCUAAUUAUACUGUAA